rnacentral:tRNA from 3 species
GGUCCCAUCGUCUAGCCUGGUCUAGGACAAUGCCCUUUCACGGCAUAAACACGGGUUCGAAUCCCGUUGGGACUA